rnacentral:rRNA from 1 species
CAGCAGCCGCGGGAAUACGUAGGGUGCGAGCGUUAAUCGGAAUUACUGGGCGUAAAGCGUGCGCAGGCGGUUGUGUAAGACAGGUGUGAAAUCCCCGGGCUUAACCUGGGAACUGCGCUUGUGACUGCACAGCUAGAGUAUGGCAGAGGGGGGUGGAAUUCCACGUGUAGCAGUGAAAUGCGUAGAGAUGCGGAGGAACACCGAUGGCGAAGGCAGCCCCCUGGGCCAAUACUGACGCUCAUGCACGAAAGCGUGGGGAGCAAACAGGAUUAGAGACCCGAGUAGUCCCUGUCUCUUAUAC